rnacentral:rRNA from 1 species
AUUGAACGCUGGCGGCAGGCCUAACACAUGCAAGUCGAACGAGUGGCGGACGGGUGAGUAAUGUCCGGGAAACCGCCCGAGGGAGGGGGAUAACUACUGGAAACGGUAGCUAAUACCGCAUACCAUUGGAUGUGCCCCGAUGGGAUUAGAUAGUAGGUGGGGUAAUGGCUCACCUAGGCGACGAUCCCCAGCUGGUCCGAGAGGAUGACGAGCCACCCUGGAACUGGAACAGUGUCCAGACUCCUGCGAGAGGCAGCAGUGGUGAAUAUUGCACAAUGGGCGCGAACCUUAUGCAGCCAUGGCGCGUGUAUGGAGGAGGCCUUCGGGUUGUAAAGUACUUUCAGCGAGGAGGCGUUACUCGCAGAAGAAGCACCGGCUAACUCCGUGCCAGCAGGCGCGGUAAUAC